rnacentral:lncRNA from 1 species
GAUGAAAUCUUCAAUUUAACACCACUAAAGUUUCUAUUAUUGUUGUUUCUUACUCUCGGUUGCACCUCUUCACUUCUUCAUUAUCACCAUGUAAUUCAUCAUCUUUAAAGUCAUUACCUUCUUAAACUCUAUUUAGCAAAUCUUCUACCAUGCAUGGCUGGAUUAGGAGCAUUAGGUGGUUGCCCCUUUGUAAUCUCACCAUAUCUUCUAUCCAUAGCUUGCAUAAAUUUCGUUAAGGCUUGAAACCCAUCUAUCUUGUUUUGUGGAUUAUUUGCUUGUCCACUCAUCUUGUAUUAAGCUAUAAAUCAAAGUUAUUAAAGCAGAAUAAUAGUUUC